rnacentral:sRNA from 1 species
CUAAGGAGAUGGCUCAGGCUGUAAAAUUCUUGAUACACAAACAGAAGGAUCUGAUUCGCAUCCCUAGCAUCUGAGUGAAAAUCUGGGUACCAUAGCACACGCCUGUAAUCAUAGCAGUGAGAGACAAAGACAGGAUGGUCCCUGUGGCUUACUGCCCAGGCAGCAGAGCCACAUCGUGCUGUGAGCUUCGAUACUGAGAGGACAAGUAGGCCCUGUCUGUUGCUUAUAUAAAAUGUGUUUGCUUCAAACAAGAGUCUGUGAAAAUGGAAAAGCCAAACUGCGAGAAGCCACCACCCUACAAUUUCUACCUGCUGGUGCCACCAAGAGCCCUGGAGAGGAGACUCGCUGAGAGCUGGUGACUAAGUGUGGAAAGCCUUUAUCACUCAGGCAUGGCUUCAACUCGUAUACUUCUAAGUAUGGCUAAGGGAUGGUGAGAUGGCUCAUCCGGUGAAGCUGCUUGCUCCCAAGCCUGAAGACCUUAUUUCAAUCCAUGUGACCCAUGUGAUAGAGAAUGAACUCCCAAAAGUUGUCCUCUGU